UACGUAGGUGGCGAGCGUUAUCCGGAUUUACUGGGCGUAAAGCGCUUGUAGGCGGCCUUGUAAGUUGGGCGUGAAAGCUCCGGGCUUAACCCGGAGAGGACGUCCAAUACUGCGAGGUUAGAGGGUGCCAGAGGAAGGUGGAAUUCCUGGUGUAGCGGUGAAAUGCGUAGAUAUCAGGAGGAACACCCGUGGCGAAGGCGGCCUUCUGGGGCAUUCCUGACGCUGAGAAGCGAAAGCUAGGGGAGCAAUCAGG
rnacentral:rRNA from 1 species